GCGGCGUGCUUAACACAUGCAAGUCGAACGAACCUUCGGGUUAGUGGCGGACGGGUGAGUAACGCGUGAGAAUCUGCCCUCAGGAGGGGGAUAACGGUUGGAAACGACCGCUAAUACCCCAUAUGCCGCGAGGUGAAAUGAAUUUCGCCUGAGGAUGAGCUCGCGUCUGAUUAGUUAGUUGGUGGGGUAAAGGCCUACCAAGACAUCGAUCAGUAGCUGGUCUGAGAGGAUGAUCAGCCACACUGGGACUGAGACACGGCCCAGACUCCUACGGGAGGCAGCAGUGGGGAAUUUUCCGCAAUGGGCGAAAGCCUGACGGAGCAACGCCGCGUGAGGGAUGAAGGCCUCUGGGCUGUAAACCUCUUUUAUCAAGGAAGAAGAUCUGACGGUACUUGAUGAAUAAGCCACGGCUAAUUCCGUGCCAGCAGCCGCGGUAAUACGGGAGUGGCAAGCGUUAUCCGGAAUUAUUGGGCGUAAAGCGUCCGCAGGCGGUCUGUCAAGUCUGCUGUUAAAGCGUGGAGCUUAACUCCAUUUCGGCAGUGGAAACUGACAGACUAGAGUGUGGUAGGGGCAGAGGGAAUUCCCGGUGUAGCGGUGAAAUGCGUAGAUAUCGGGAAGAACACCAGUGGCGAAGGCGCUCUGCUGGGCCAUAACUGACGCUCAUGGACGAAAGCCAGGGGAGCGAAAGGGAUUAGAUACCCCUGUAGUCCUGGCCGUAAACGAUGAACACUAGGUGUCGGGGGAAUCGACCCCCUCGGUGUCGUAGCCAACGCGUUAAGUGUUCCGCCUGGGGAGUACGCACGCAAGUGUGAAACUCAAAGGAAUUGACGGGGGCCCGCACAAGCGGUGGAGUAUGUGGUUUAAUUCGAUGCAACGCGAAGAACCUUACCAGGGUUUGACAUCCUGCGAAUCUCUUGGAAACGAGAGAGUGCCUUCGGGAACGCAGUGACAGGUGGUGCAUGGCUGUCGUCAGCUCGUGUCGUGAGAUGUUGGGUUAAGUCCCGCGACGAGCGCAACCCACGUCGUUAGUUGCCAGCAUUGAGUUGGGCACUCUAGCGAGACCGCCGGUGAUAAACCGGAGGAAGGUGUGGAUGACGUCAAGUCAUCAUGCCCCUUACAUCCUGGGCUACACACGUACUACAAUGCUACGGACAAAGGGCAGCAAACUCGCGAGAGCUAGCAAAUCCCAUAAACCGUGGCUCAGUUCAGAUCGUAGGCUGCAACUCGCCUACGUGAAGGAGGAAUCGCUAGUAAUCGCAGGUCAGCAUACUGCGGUGAAUACGUUCCCGGGCCUUGUACACACCGCCCGUCACACCAUGGAAGUUGGCCACGCCCGAAGCCGUUACUCCAACCCUUGUGGAGGAGGACGUCGAAGGUGGGGCUGAUGACUGGGGUGAAGUCGUAACAAGGUAGCCGUACCGGAAGGUGCGGCUGGAUCACCUCCU
rnacentral:rRNA from 1 species